AUCUAAGGCCAUAAUCACAGAGUAGGCACCCAGGCAUAUCUGAAAAGAUUGGCUUAACCUCCCAGUAAACACGCUUUCUCAAUCUCUCUCUCUCAGGUUGCCACCAUCAAGACAGGAUGAGGUCGUUCUACAAGAUGCUACUACUUUCGCUUGCCCUUGUUGCGCUGCUAUCCUCAGAUCUGAUGAUCCAGGCGACGGCUAAUGGUGGCGGCUCGCUAAUCCCUGAAGACUGCCGGCAGACCCCUGUCAUCCCUGGGCCGUGUAACCCCAAGGCUUGUCUCCGCAACUGUCAAAUCAACGUUGGCCCCGGUGCGGUUGGCGAUUGUGAUGCUGGCGGAUGCCGGUGCACAUACUGUACUGCAUCUCAGCGGAAUUAAGCAGUGAUUGUUUCUUAAUUUUCCCCCGAUAAUAAGCGAAAUCUUAGUUUUUUUUUCUAUACCUACCUGUCAAAUGCAUGGAAACUCCAAACAGGAAUGUGGGCGAGGCUCAUGGCCAUCCAA